GUCCCUGUUCGGGCGCCA
rnacentral:ncRNA from 4 species